AGGAGCCCUUGCAAGAACGUGCGCUGCACCGCGGCCUGUCACAAAGAACACUUCAAGGGUGGGUACUGCUCCAGUAAGAAGUCAAUUGUUGGCGAUGACCUCAACGAAGACAACGAGGAGAACUUCUAUAAGAAACGUCCUAAGAAAAAGACGUGCAUGUGUACAUAUGAAUGCAGUAAAGCCCCGCCACCACCGUCAGAACCUGAUGUGCCAGAGCCACCGGGUGAACCCGUGGUGCCGGAUCCUCAGAAGAAGCCGCCACCGCCAUAUGAACGUGACGUGCCGGAGCCGCCCUUGGGAGAACACAAGAAGAAGAAGAAGCCGCCAGCUGCCGACCAGUGAGCAAAUGGUCUAUUCCACCCGCCUGAGGAAAAUGAUUUUAAUAAGAGAGGAAUUAUUCAAUGCUUGACUUGUACUCAUGCAUAAAUGAUUGCGUGAGAAUAAUAAUAAUAAUAAUCUGGGUACUGUUAAAGGGAGUAUGGCGUUGUGAUAGUUCCACCUUCUCCCACCCUUCCUACAUUUCCAUGCAGCCAACACCGAUCUUUUUUCUCUCAUACGAGCCCACGCAUCCAAUGAGCCAACACGAAAAGGAAAAAAAGAUCCCAUGACCCACGAACACAUGUCCACACGCCUCAUCUCCCUGACCACGCCCCUCCCGAUCACAUCUUUUUUAAACGCUAUGGAGUCUCUAUCUCUACAUACGACUAGUAGAAUGCUCAUGCGUUGUCAUGGGCAUUUGAAAUAUUUUACUGGAGUUAUACCUAAAACAUAAUGCACGUUAAACUUCAUAGAAAAGAUAGACAGUAAAAGUUGGGUAGAAAUUGAAAUUCACUUCACUUACAAUGUACUCCCAAAUGUAGGAUCACUUUUUGACACUAUCAUAAUGUCAACAAUGAUCUUAUAAUUUGGGACGGAGGUAGUGGGUUGAUAAAAAAAAGGCAAUUUUAAGAUGUGUACCUAGAGCGAUGAUAUAACUAUAAUACGUUAUGAAUUAAGAUCUACUUGAUGCACUUAAGAUAUUCUCGCUCAAUAUAAAAAUGUUGUCUUUAGCUUGAUUCACACGAUAUUUAAGCAAAUAUAAUAAAAACAUCUUCCUCAACUAUCCAUCACAAGCAGUAUAUGUAGUCAACACAAAUAGUUUACAUGGAAGGUCUAAAAUUUUGCAGCAAAGAAUACCCACCGUGCAAACUAGACGAACCAAUUCUGUACCGUUCAACGAGAACAUAAUCAAAAACAAAGUAGCUAGACACAUCCCUGCAAUUGAAUAAUUAAGAUUAUCUUCAAUAUGGUGAUAAAAAUGAUUGUAUCUUGAAUAUUAUCAUAAUGAAAUAUAUAAAUUUGCUCAUCCAUGGGAAAAUUAAACACAUAUAGAAGUACAUCUUUCGAGUAUUAUAUCAUGUGCAACAAACAUACAAAGAAGAAUAAUUAUUUACAUGCACCUCUUCUGAUUGCGUAAAACUCGUUGAUUUUUCAGUCCGGUCCAUCAUCAUUACGUCAAUGACUAUAUCACUCGAUAUUUUCAAAGCAUCAUCCAAAUCCACCAGUUUCUAUAUGACCAACAAAAAAGGGAAAUAUAAAAAUAUAUUAGGAAAAGUAUAUAUAAAAAAUCAUGUAUGUAAAACAUAUAUUCAUUGGUCGGCUGCUAGAAAUGAACGGUGCCUGUUUUUAACUAACUGGGUGACAUAAUGUUUUUUAGUAGAUUGAGUGGCAUCCCAUUUUUAAUAAAUUGUAGGCUCAUCUAUAAAUCACUAUUUUAUGAUUAUUCUUGGGAAUUUACUAUUUAGGCAUGUGAUAUUCUAGGAGAAAAAAUAUGUUACAUUUCUCUAGAGUAAACAAUCGAUUUUCCCACCAUAUUAGGAAGAACAACCGAUUUUUCUAAAAAUCAAACACAGCCAGCCUUUCCCUUCCUUUGUAGAAGUAUAUUUUAUAAAGCAAAAACAACUCACCCCCUCACUCUCUCACGCACGGGCACAAGNNNNNNNNNNCAGUCUCAGUCGACUGAGAUCUAACCACAUUUUUUUAUUUACCGAAACAUAUGCAUAUGCGUUUUGCAUUAGAGAUGGUCUUAACAUAAUUUGUUUUCCACGACGAGUUCUCUCACAUAUUUUUUUUUCAUGUAAGCAACUAUGAGUUGCCAAGUAUUAUUUGUGUUUUGCUCUUACACUGCCACCAAUGUAAUUGCACCAAGAGCCAGUAGAAGGUUUCUUUGGCCGGGUAGCACAAGCUUUUAUUUAGACACACAUGAUUAAUUACUGGAGAUAGAUACUAUACACAAAUGCUUGUAUCCAAUAUUUGGAUUUCCAUAUCCUCUAAGACAUUACACAAAUGCUUCUAUCCAAUAUUUGGAUUUUCAUAUCCUCUAAAACAUUACACAAAUGCUUGUAUCCAAUAUUUGAAUUUUCGUAUCCUCUAAGGCAUUACACAAAUGCUUGUAUCCAAUAUUUGGAUUUUCGUAUCCUCUAAGACAUUACACAAAUGCUUGUUUCCAAUAUUUGGAUUUCCAUGUCCUCUAAGGCAUUGAAUGGAUAGCCAAGAGGAAUGCAAUAAAUAGCACUCAAACCCCAUUCUUCUCCUCACACAUCCUUUCCAACAACUUAUUUUGAGCACUUGGCCAUGGCGUUCAGCGGCGCCCAGAUGCUCGCUGCCUUCACCAUGGGCUUUCUACUCAUGGCCUUCUCUAAGUUCAUAUAGCAGAUUUUAUCGCAUUGCAAUUCCAUGCAAUUUUAGAUCAAUCGAUGAAAUAACUGCUACUAUAAUUUUCUGGUGCACACAUUAAUUCUAUGUCACAUGCAGGUGUGGAGGCUCGGGUAUGCAUGUCCCCUAGCAAGUCGUACAAAAGGAGCCCUUGCAAGAACGUGCGCUGCACCGCGGCCUGUCACAAAGAACACUUCAAGGGUGGGUACUGCUCCAGUAAGAAGUCAAUUGUUGGCGAUGACCUCAACGAAGACAACGAGGAGAACUUCUAUAAGAAACGUCCUAAGAAAAAGACGUGCAUGUGUACAUAUGAAUGCAGUAAAGCCCCGCCACCACCGUCAGAACCUGAUGUGCCAGAGCCACCGGGUGAACCCGUGGUGCCGGAUCCUCAGAAGAAGCCGCCACCGCCAUAUGAACGUGACGUGCCGGAGCCGCCCUUGGGAGAACACAAGAAGAAGAAGAAGCCGCCAGCUGCCGACCAGUGAGCAAAUGGUCUAUUCCACCCGCCUGAGGAAAAUGAUUUUAAUAAGAGAGGAAUUAUUCAAUGCUUGACUUGUACUCAUGCAUAAAUGAUUGCGUGAGAAUAAUAAUAAUAAUAAUCUGGGUACUGUUAAAGGGAGUAUGGCGUUGUGAUAGUUCCACCUUCUCCCACCCUUCCUACAUUUCCAUGCAGCCAACACCGAUCUUUUUUCUCUCAUACGAGCCCACGCAUCCAAUGAGCCAACACGAAAAGGAAAAAAAGAUCCCAUGACCCACGAACACAUGUCCACACGCCUCAUCUCCCUGACCACGCCCCUCCCGAUCACAUCUUUUUUAAACGCUAUGGAGUCUCUAUCUCUACAUACGACUAGUAGAAUGCUCAUGCGUUGUCAUGGGCAUUUGAAAUAUUUUACUGGAGUUAUACCUAAAACAUAAUGCACGUUAAACUUCAUAGAAAAGAUAGACAGUAAAAGUUGGGUAGAAAUUGAAAUUCACUUCACUUACAAUGUACUCCCAAAUGUAGGAUCACUUUUUGACACUAUCAUAAUGUCAACAAUGAUCUUAUAAUUUGGGACGGAGGUAGUGGGUUGAUAAAAAAAAGGCAAUUUUAAGAUGUGUACCUAGAGCGAUGAUAUAACUAUAAUACGUUAUGAAUUAAGAUCUACUUGAUGCACUUAAGAUAUUCUCGCUCAAUAUAAAAAUGUUGUCUUUAGCUUGAUUCACACGAUAUUUAAGCAAAUAUAAUAAAAACAUCUUCCUCAACUAUCCAUCACAAGCAGUAUAUGUAGUCAACACAAAUAGUUUACAUGGAAGGUCUAAAAUUUUGCAGCAAAGAAUACCCACCGUGCAAACUAGACGAACCAAUUCUGUACCGUUCAACGAGAACAUAAUCAAAAACAAAGUAGCUAGACACAUCCCUGCAAUUGAAUAAUUAAGAUUAUCUUCAAUAUGGUGAUAAAAAUGAUUGUAUCUUGAAUAUUAUCAUAAUGAAAUAUAUAAAUUUGCUCAUCCAUGGGAAAAUUAAACACAUAUAGAAGUACAUCUUUCGAGUAUUAUAUCAUGUGCAACAAACAUACAAAGAAGAAUAAUUAUUUACAUGCACCUCUUCUGAUUGCGUAAAACUCGUUGAUUUUUCAGUCCGGUCCAUCAUCAUUACGUCAAUGACUAUAUCACUCGAUAUUUUCAAAGCAUCAUCCAAAUCCACCAGUUUCUAUAUGACCAACAAAAAAGGGAAAUAUAAAAAUAUAUUAGGAAAAGUAUAUAUAAAAAAUCAUGUAUGUAAAACAUAUAUUCAUUGGUCGGCUGCUAGAAAUGAACGGUGCCUGUUUUUAACUAACUGGGUGACAUAAUGUUUUUUAGUAGAUUGAGUGGCAUCCCAUUUUUAAUAAAUUGUAGGCUCAUCUAUAAAUCACUAUUUUAUGAUUAUUCUUGGGAAUUUACUAUUUAGGCAUGUGAUAUUCUAGGAGAAAAAAUAUGUUACAUUUCUCUAGAGUAAACAAUCGAUUUUCCCACCAUAUUAGGAAGAACAACCGAUUUUUCUAAAAAUCAAACACAGCCAGCCUUUCCCUUCCUUUGUAGAAGUAUAUUUUAUAAAGCAAAAACAACUCACCCCCUCACUCUCUCACGCACGGGCACAAGNNNNNNNNNNGAGAGAGAGAGAGAGAGAGAGAGAGAGAGAGAGAGAGAGAGAGCUAGGGUUCGGAGCGAGGCUCCUGGAUUGGUUUUUUUGUGGGACAUAUGUGGGGUCAGUGGUGGGCCGGGCCUGUCAGGCGGACGCGCCCAGGUGUACCUGGGCCGCCCCAUAUCUGUUCUAUAUUUGGGUUGUAUAUGAGGCGUGUCGGUCAGAUCGGACAUUUAUCCACGGUUUAAGAGGUCCGGUUGGGUCUAUUUUUUGUGACCGAUCAAUAACUGGACAGCCUGCCCGAACGAUUUGAGACGAAUAUAAGAGGCCCGGAUAUAGAUACCAAGCCAAAUGACCACGUAUCGACUCCAUGUUAGCUAGACUAGCCGUUGAAUGAAGGGAAGAUACGAAGGAGAACCUCGGUAUCGGCGCAUCCUAUAUGCAACGAAAAAUUAGUAAUUCAGAAAAGUUCAAAAAAUUCCAAAUCUUUUUGGUAUCAAACUUGAUCAAGUAUUGUAGUCGUAUAAAAAGAUUCGUCAGAAAAUGACAUUCGUUGCAUCCUGGGUCGAAGAUUAGAUAAAAAACGCUAUAUACAAAUAUUAUACACGCUAUAUUAUGGUCAUAGACUUGUCUUUUUUGCCCUGAAGUCAAUAGGAAUCAUUUCUUGUCCAAACUUUUUAUACGAGUACAAUACCUAAUCAUGUUUGAUUUUAAAAAAGUUUUAGAAUUUUUUGAACUUUUUCUGAAUUACUAAUUUGUUUUGUGCAUAUAGGAUGCGCAGGUACUCGAGAGCAGCAAGUUCUCGUCCCUGAAUAAAGAUGUUGCAUUAUUAGGUUGGAACGCCCUUCAGAUCUGGGCGUUGAAUCACAAAGUGCUCAACGAUAUUUUUUUGGGGAUUCCAGAAUCUCACUCGACUGAGGACUUAACGAAGUUUUAGUCGAUGCUAUAUUCGUUAGAUCUUACGUGGUGAUCCAUGUAAAAUUUUGUUUUAAUUUUUUUCUUUUGCAGUCUCAGUCGACUGAGAUCUAACCACAUUUUUUUAUUUACCGAAACAUAUGCAUAUGCGUUUUGCAUUAGAGAUGGUCUUAACAUAAUUUGUUUUCCACGACGAGUUCUCUCACAUAUUUUUUUUUCAUGUAAGCAACUAUGAGUUGCCAAGUAUUAUUUGUGUUUUGCUCUUACACUGCCACCAAUGUAAUUGCACCAAGAGCCAGUAGAAGGUUUCUUUGGCCGGGUAGCACAAGCUUUUAUUUAGACACACAUGAUUAAUUACUGGAGAUAGAUACUAUACACAAAUGCUUGUAUCCAAUAUUUGGAUUUCCAUAUCCUCUAAGACAUUACACAAAUGCUUCUAUCCAAUAUUUGGAUUUUCAUAUCCUCUAAAACAUUACACAAAUGCUUGUAUCCAAUAUUUGAAUUUUCGUAUCCUCUAAGGCAUUACACAAAUGCUUGUAUCCAAUAUUUGGAUUUUCGUAUCCUCUAAGACAUUACACAAAUGCUUGUUUCCAAUAUUUGGAUUUCCAUGUCCUCUAAGGCAUUGAAUGGAUAGCCAAGAGGAAUGCAAUAAAUAGCACUCAAACCCCAUUCUUCUCCUCACACAUCCUUUCCAACAACUUAUUUUGAGCACUUGGCCAUGGCGUUCAGCGGCGCCCAGAUGCUCGCUGCCUUCACCAUGGGCUUUCUACUCAUGGCCUUCUNNNNNNNNNNAUUUUAUCGCAUUGCAAUUCCAUGCAAUUUUAGAUCAAUCGAUGAAAUAACUGCUACUAUAAUUUUCUGGUGCACACAUUAAUUCUAUGUCACAUGCAGGUGUGGAGGCUCGGGUAUGCAUGUCCCCUAGCAAGUCGUACAAAAGGAGCCCUUGCAAGAACGUGCGCUGCACCGCGGCCUGUCACAAAGAACACUUCAAGGGUGGGUACUGCUCCAGUAAGAAGUCAAUUGUUGGCGAUGACCUCAACGAAGACAACGAGGAGAACUUCUAUAAGAAACGUCCUAAGAAAAAGACGUGCAUGUGUACAUAUGAAUGCAGUAAAGCCCCGCCACCACCGUCAGAACCUGAUGUGCCAGAGCCACCGGGUGAACCCGUGGUGCCGGAUCCUCAGAAGAAGCCGCCACCGCCAUAUGAACGUGACGUGCCGGAGCCGCCCUUGGGAGAACACAAGAAGAAGAAGAAGCCGCCAGCUGCCGACCAGUGAGCAAAUGGUCUAUUCCACCCGCCUGAGGAAAAUGAUUUUAAUAAGAGAGGAAUUAUUCAAUGCUUGACUUGUACUCAUGCAUAAAUGAUUGCGUGAGAAUAAUAAUAAUAAUAAUCUGGGUACUGUUAAAGGGAGUAUGGCGUUGUGAUAGUUCCACCUUCUCCCACCCUUCCUACAUUUCCAUGCAGCCAACACCGAUC
rnacentral:lncRNA from 1 species